rnacentral:miRNA from 1 species
GCAUUGUGUGAGCUACUUAAAU